rnacentral:rRNA from 1 species
AUGGUGUUCGCGACUGGCUGGUGGAUGGCCGCCGUCGACGCCAACUACGACUCUCAGUUGGACCAGAUGAUCGUUGCCAUCACCAACAAGUUCACCGUCCUCAAGAAGCUCGAGGACGACAUCGUCGUACUCCUCCAGCUCGCGCGCCUGGGCUCCUCAUCCUGCCACCCUAAUCGGCCUCCAUGGCCGAAACCUCUUUCAAGCACUGGUGGCCUUGCGACUGCCCGCCGACGCCAUGAAGAAUGUCCACCUGGAGGUCGCGCUCGCCGCGAGGCGCCUCGCCCUGCAAGAAUUCGUCGACCUACACAUCCACAUGUACGAGCAAAUCGUGUACAUAGGUAUCUACAAGGCCAUUGA